GACCAGAGGUGCAAGGAAGGGUGCUUCUCUUUGGAAACAGGAGCUUGAUUGUCUGCAUUUGUUCAAACUAGAGGAGAGAGGACCUGAAAACUUUAACUCUGAGUGGUCACUUUGACUGUGUGACCCGGCUGGAGGGAUGAACCACUGAAGACAGGACAAGGGAGGUUGACAACCUGCAGGCAGUUCCAGGAGUGGGAAAAGGUCUACAGUACCCCACACAGCAGCAGGAUGUGCUCAAGAGCUUAUAUUUUCCACAGCAGAUGGAGCCCUGCGGUAUGCAAAUCAACUUUCCGGUGGAAAGUGAUGCAGGAAGAUAAGUCCUGAGUCAGAGGCCAUUAAAGUCAAUGAAGAGACUCUGAUUGACUUCUGUGGGCUUGGGAUCAGACUCAGAGAAGAGAUGGGAUCAGAGCCUUAGCGACAAGACUGUUACGGAAUGGCAGCAAUACCUGAACAGCCAAAGACAAACACCAAGCUGUCUACAAGACAGAGUGCCAUUUUAUUCCUCUGUCGAAAUUCCUGAUGAGAUGGGAAAAACAUCAGGAAACACUCAAGAGAAGACCUCCUGAACCUUCCAAUUAUUCUUGUUGGCAUCUUUAGAUAGAUAAGAAAGCCUGUGGUAAAUGAAUGACGUUGGAGCUAGGUGUGAAAUGUGAAGGUACAAAAUUAACUGGUAGGAUAAUUACUGUUCUAAUUCUGCAUAAACAUGCGUUUUGAAAAUCAUUAAUAGUUCAGGGAAAUAAUGUUAGUGAUUAAAUAAGGUGGUUUGCAUCACUGAGCACAACUAAGCUGCUUUAAUUACAUUUGAA